UCCUGUGCCCCACGAUGGACACGCUUUGCUCCACGCUCCUGCUGCUGACCGUCCCGUCCUGGGUCUUGUCCCAGGUGACCUUGAAGGAGUCUGGUCCUGCGCUGGUGAAACCCACACAGACCCUCACGCUGACCUGCACCUUCUCUGGGUUCUCACUCACCACUAGUGGAAUGGGUGUGGGCUGGAUCCGUCAGCCCCCAGGGAAGGCCCUGGAGUGGCUUGCGAACAUUUAUUGGGAUGAUGGUAAAUACUACAGCCCAUCGCUGAAGAGCAGACUCACCAUCUCCAAGGAUACCUCCAGAAAGCAGGUGGUUCUGACAAUGACAAACAUGGACCCUGUGGACACAGCCACAUAUUACUGUGCACGGGGACCACAGAGACACAGCCCAGGGCACCUCCUGUACAGGAACCCAGGCUGCUUCUCAGGGGUGCUCCCUCCCCACCAAUGCAGAACAGGAAAGAGCGGUCGAGAUGCCUUUUCCUGA